CACCUACGGGUGGCAGCAGUAAGGAAUAUUGGUCAAUGGACGCAAGUCUGAACCAGCCAUGCCGCGUGCAGGAUGACAGCCCUACGGGUUGUAAACUGCUUUUGUACGGGAAAAAACCUCCGGUCGUGAAUCGGAGCUGAUGGUACCGUAAGAAUAAGCAUCGGCUAACUCCGUGCCAGCAGCCGCGGUAAUACGGAGGAUGCAAGCGUUAUCCGGAUUCAUUGGGUUUAAAGGGUGCGCAGGCGGAAUGGUAAGUCAGUGGUGAAAUCCUACGGCUUAACUGUAGAAUUGCCAUUGAUACUGUCAUUCUUGAGUAUAGUUGAAGUGGGCGGAAUGUGUCAUGUAGCGGUGAAAUGCUUAGAUAUGACACAGAACACCGAUCGCGAAGGCAGCUCGCUAAACUAUCACUGACGCUCAUGCACGAAAGCGUGGGGAUCAAACAGGAUUAGAUACCCUGGUAGUCCACGCUGUAAACGAUGAUUACUCGAUGUUGGCGAUAUACUGUCAGCGUCUAAGCGAAAGCAUUAAGUAAUCCACCUGGGGAGUACGGCCGCAAGGUUGAAACUCAAAGGAAUUGACGGGGGCCCGCACAAGCGGAGGAGCAUGUGGUUUAAUUCGAUGAUACGCGAGGAACCUUACCUGGG
rnacentral:rRNA from 1 species